CAGGCCUAACACAUGCAAGUCGAGCGGACUUAUCCUUCGGGAUAGGUUAGCGGCGGACGGGUGAGUAACACGUAGGCAACCUGCCUGUAAGAUCGGGAUAACUACCGGAAACGGUAGCUAAGACCGGAUAGCUGGUUUCUCCGCAUGGGGGAAUCAUGAAACAUGGGGCAACCUGUGGCUUACGGAUGGGCCUGCGGCGCAUUAGCUAGUUGGUGGGGUAAUGGCCCACCAAGGCGACGAUGCGUAGCCGACCUGAGAGGGUGAUCGGCCACACUGGGACUGAGACACGGCCCAGACUCCUACGGGAGGCAGCAGUAGGGAAUCUUCCGCAAUGGGCGCAAGCCUGACGGAGCAACGCCGCGUGAGUGAUGAAGGUUUUCGGAUCGUAAAGCUCUGUUGCCAAGGAAGAACGCCUCGGAGAGUAACUGCUCUGAGGGUGACGGUACUUGAGAAGAAAGCCCCGGCUAACUACGUGCCAGCAGCCGCGGUAAUACGUAGGGGGCAAGCGUUGUCCGGAAUUAUUGGGCGUAAAGCGCGCGCAGGCGGUCUUUUAAGUUUGGUGUUUAAGCCCGGGGCUCAACCCCGGUUCGCACUGAAAACUGGGAGACUUGAGUGCAGGAGAGGAAAGCGGAAUUCCACGUGUAGCGGUGAAAUGCGUAGAGAUGUGGAGGAACACCAGUGGCGAAGGCGGCUUUCUGGACUGUAACUGACGCUGAGGCGCGAAAGCGUGGGGAGCAAACAGGAUUAGAU
rnacentral:rRNA from 1 species